GUGUGUGUUUACCUUCUUGCCAAACAAACCAAGGCUGCGAGGCAUUAAAGGCCUCUUUUGAGCUGCCUCAGGGUCAGGCACCUCUCUGACCUUCUAUUCUGCACUGCUGCAGCUGAUGUAACCUUCCCUCACUGACUCAAAACAAUUACUUUCAGCUUUGUAGGAAACCUUGGCUUCUAUAACUGUAGGUUUUACUCUCCAAGCCCCAUAACUUAAAAACGAAGAAGCAACUCCCCUCCACCAUCACAUCCUAUUUCUUGUUUCUGGUGCUCCAUUACCCAUGGAGCUGGAGUCUGGCAAAGGCAUGCAGAAGAUGAGAAGAGCAGAUACAGUAGCUGUUACUGCUGCAGUCUGUUUUCUCUCUCUGCCUCACCUCCCUCUACGGCCCACAAGCGGUAAACAUUGUGUGUUGACAUAUGGCCCUCCAAGAUUUAAUCGCCCUUUAUUACAUUUUGUCGGUGGGAAAAAAAUGAAGCGAUACAAGUUUGCACAUUACCAUCGGUGUGUGUGUGUGUGUGUGUGUGUUUUCUUAGAAGGUCUAUCCAAAACAAGAGAUGCAUAACCAAAAAGUGUUUAUUUGAAAAUAUUUGCCUCGGCGCAUUUAAUAUUUAUUGCAUACAUAUUGAAUAUUUGAGCUGCAUCAAACAUGUAAAUUAUUCACUCUCAUAAUUACCUGUGUUUAUUCACAUAGUUACUACUCGGCUGUUGAUUGAAGCUUGUUUGUUAUUCAUGGAGCAAACCUCGUGCCAAAGGACUCUCCUGAUGAUGUAACGUCAUGUAAUUACAGGCAGAUGACAGUAAUGCAAAAUCCAUUAUGUGGUUUAAUCUCUUUAGAAGAAUGCACAUGGGGCCGUCUGGAGCCUAUCACUCAAUCAUAUGGUGAAAGUGUUGGAUACAGUGAAUGUAUGACCACUUUUCUGUCCUUUGUGAGUGUCUGUUUGCUUACUAGCUUUUUAGGGCUAUUUUUUAAACCCUAGGCUAAUCCCAUGAUCCCGCUUUGCAAUGUGUUUUGACGUUUUGGUCACAUUUGACUCCCCCUUCCCAUGUCAACCAAUAACAUCAUUUAAUUAAGUCCUGAAAUGCAGAUAUUUCUCUGGUGUGAAACCAAAUGUUCUUUUUUUUUUCAUCAAUCCUUUUUUCUUUGUGCAUCCAACCUAAAGAUGCUGCCUCUGGGAAAAGCAGACAACCGUCGCACUGGUUUGGAAAGAUCCCGUUCGCGCCACAAUGCAAACCCUAUGGUCCGAUGAUCGCUUGCCGGCUAAGGACGUUCGCCAAGUGCCAAAGACCCAAGAGUGGGGACAACACCGAGGAGGGCUGAACCGGGAUGGAGACGGAGCCCUCGGCUUUCACAUACAUACACACAUGCACACAAAACGCAGAAAAAACCUCAAGAUGUGCAUCACAGACACUUCAUUGCAGGAUCACAUGACCCUUCUGAAGCCUUAUAUACUACAUCGUGCAAUGCGCCAGUUUAAUUAUGCGGCGUUUGUUUGGUAUUUUCAGUUAUGUCAGCUUUGUUUAUUUCUCAUGACGCUGACUUCCCUGAUUUGGCUCACUAUCUCCAAACAAUCAAUGAUUGGCUGUGGUUUGAUCUCUCGCUAUUGGACAGACAAACAUGCUCCUGAUGACAAAGGCCACCAGAAAGGACUGUGCGAUUCUGUAUGCAUAUCAGCAGAGGGACUUUAUUUGAAAAAAAACAUGACUUGACUGAAACUGCCUACCCCUUUUGCUUUCUGACAGAUUUAGAUCUCCGAUCCUUAAUUCCCCCCCUCAGCUGUAUAACCUCUGAUCACUGCCUCUCUUCAUAUAUUACAAAUCCUAUGUAUGUAGCGACAUGAAAAAGCUGCUGAUAUUAGCUUCAGUGUGUACACAUUUGUGCUGUGUAAGACCUGCCAGUGCCACAAGGUACCUUAGGUGGAUGAAAGAUAUUGCUCUUUAUCUACGGUAAACACUUCAAACAUUCGCAGAUGUUUCUCUAGCAGAGUCAAAGGUUUUAUUAAGUGAAUCUGCAGGUAUGCGAAUCAAAGAGAUGCCAUUCAUUUCAGUUUUCAAAUAUGUCACGGCUUUUCUUCGUGAUUUCCUUCCAAGUCACUGUGCUUUUAGCUUUUAGCCCUCUUGUAGAAGAGCAUUUUAGUGAACUGUAGCUUAGGGGUUUUUAUGAGGGGUUUUCUUCAAAAUCCAAUGGUCAACUUUAAGAGCUCUCUCUUUCUGACCGAAUGCAUUUGCUUCGCCAUCCGUGCUUUCACAAAGAGGAGUAUUUAUCAGAUUCAGUACUCAAAGUUCACGUUUCACAGUUUGCAGAAUAUGAAUUUAUUCUCAGUUUGCCAGAUUUAGCCUGAAGCUUUUGAUAUGUGAACAUUAACCAGAUUCCAGUCAUACAGUAGUAGAAAGUGACACAACGUUCACAACAUGGUGGCUGUCUUCAUGUGAAAACCAUUAGUGAAAUUUUCCCCGCCACCUCCCUUCUCUUAUGCUUGUUGAGGAGUCAUUUUUCGUAAUGUCUUCGACCCCCCAUGUCCAUAACACUGCAGGCAACAAUAUGAGUGACUGGAGUCAUACUGGUACAAGCCACACGCAAAUCCGCUGCUUUUCUUUAUGUGAAGGCAAUGAGUUAAAUUUGCACAUCCAGUGCAAGUAAAUGCAGUACAACCAUGGUGUGGUGUUAAACAAGCCAGUCUUUCUUCUCGCACUGUGUUUGUCAUACUCUCCCUCAAGAGGGAGAGGAAAGGUCGAGAUGCAGCGAAUCGCAAUCCAUUGAUUUGCUUUUCUAAUUAAAACUGCCCUUUGAAUGGUUUCCAGAAGCUGCACUCGGCUCUCAUGACUCUCACUACUGGUUAUUUUAAACUUAAGUUAAUGGUAAUUACAGCAUCUGCACACUGUCAGUGCAGACAUCUUCCACAUGCAUUGUUAUUUCCCAGUCAAACUCCGUUUAGAUACAUUUAUCUGGUGGAUUCAUCAAAUAAUUCCCAAGCUUUCUGUCUUAUAGUCAGAAACGAUAGUCUUUUGAUACAUGUGCCAAACAUUCAUGAUACACAAAAGAAAGCUAGCAUACUGAGAUUAAGGAAGAUGAUUUAGUCGAAUGUUAUCACUCGAUUGAAUGGCUGUUAUCAGUGGUUAUCAGCUUAUAGAUAUGGACCAGUAGGGGGCUUCUGUGCCUACUAUUAGAAUUAAUACAAAUAAUUCUCGUGGUUAAUCAGCUAUACUAAUGGAGAAGACUCAAGAUCCAGACCUGUUUUUACAUUACUGUGGCGGUUGAGAUUAGGGUUGAGGUAGAGGUAGACGUUAAUAUAAUACAAUUAAUGGGAAAUUUAAUAAAUCAUUCAUUCAUUCAUUCAUUUUCUACCUAUUUUCUGGGGCUGGGUCGCAGGGGCAGCAGUCUUAGGAAAGAGCCCUAGACUUCCCUCUCCCCAGACACUUCCUCCAGCUAUUCCAAGGGGAUCCCGAGGUGUUCUCAGGCCAGCCGAGGGACAUAUUCCCUCCAGCAUGUCCUGGGUUUUCCCCAAGGCCUGCUCCCAGUGGGACAUGCCUGGAACACACCGCCUUAGAUAGGCAUGCAAGAGGCAUCCGCAACAGAUGCCUGAGCCACCUCAGCUGACUUCUCUCGAUGUGGAGGAGCAGUGGCUCUACUCCCAGCUGCUCCCAGGUUUCAAUGCUCCUCACCCUAUCCAUAAAGGUACGCCUUGCCACCCUGCAAAGAAAAGUCAUAUCGGCCGCUUUUAUCUGAGAUCUUGUCCUCUCAGUUAUGACCAUAGGUGAGAGUAGUAACCUAGACUGACCGGUAAAUUGAAAGCUUUGCUUUUCAGCUCAGCUCCUUCUUUACCACAACGGACCGAUACAUCGACUGAAUUACUGCUGCCACUGCACCAAUCCACCUGUCAAUCUCACUUUCAAUUCUUCCCUCAAUCCUGAACAAAACCCCAAGAUACUUGAACUCCUUCACCUGGAACUUUGCUUCCAACAUGGAGAUGGCAAACCACCUUUUUCCGGUGGAGCACCAAGGCCUUGGACUUGAAGGUGCUGAUUCUCAUCCCAGCCGCAUCACACUUGGCAGCAAACUGCUCCAGUGCUUGAUGAAGCCAACAAAACAAUAUAGUCUGCGAAUAGCAGAGAUGAAGUCCCGUUGUUUCCUGAACCGGACCCUCUCCUGCCCAAGGCUGCGCUUUGAAAUUCUGUCCAUAAAAAUAAAGAGCAGAAUUGGUGACAAGGGGCAGCCUUGCUGGAGUCCAACAUGCAAUGGAAACAAGUCUGACUUAUUGUCGGCAAUGCGAACCAAACUCCUACUCUGUUCAUACAGGGACGAGAUGGCCCUUAACAGAGCGCCUCUGACCCCAUAGCCCCAGAGCACCCUCCACAAAAUGCCACGAGAGACAUGGUCUAAUGCCUUCUCCAAGUCCACAAAACACAUGUGGGCUGGUUGUGCAUACUCCCAUGAACCCUCGAAAUUUAAUAAAUAAUAUAAAUAAUUCUCAUUAACUUUCGCCCGCAACUGUAUGUUAUCUAUAGCUGAUUAACCAUCUGAAUGGAUGAUAACAGCCCACUGAGCCUAUCAGUUGGAGCAGCAGGCACCUAUUGGAACAUAUCUAUCAGCUGUUAACCACAGAUUACGCUCAUUCGAUAACAUUUAAAUCGGCUGAUUUAGUUCAAAUCACACUAAUAUUUUCUGAAUGAUGAAAACGAGUCACUACAUUACACAUGGAAACAGCAGUAUCGCAUCCAUUCAGAGUUAAAAAACAGAGAUAGGGCUUAGUGAUGUCGUAAUUUUUACAACUAUAAUGUCUCUUUAAAAAAAAGUGUAAUUUAUAGACUUUUUUCCUCUCUUUCCUAAGAAAACAUCGUUUUAUACCAGUGAUCAUCCCCUCCAUCAGUGAUGUUGGUGUUAAUCUUGUGCAUUACUAUAGGCUAAUAUAUAUGUGUGAUGUGUAUUUGAUAGAGAGUAUAUCCUAAUGCAGGUUAGAGUCUGCAAGUGACUGACAGUGUAACAUUUCCAGUCAAAUCCAAUACUUUAAUUGGAUGCUAGGCAGAGACCAGAAGUAGGCAUAAAAAAUGAAGUUACUAGUGCCAAUUUGGGUCCUCUGCUGUCUCAUUUAUCCACAUUUCUUUGAUAUCCUCAGUUUGGAUUGUAUGAUGGUGCACUUUAACUUGUUAAAUAUAGACUGGAGGGAUCUUUUAGUUUGCAUAUCAUUGCCAAAACAGACUGCUCGCAUGUGCGGUAACUAUUUCUGACAAGCGAUUCAAUCUCCAUUCUCUGAAGUCUCCCCCAGUUCGCUCUCAUUCCCGCUCAUUGUAAUUGGCACUUGGAACAAGAUCAAAGUUUAAUGGGUAAGAACAACAGCAACUGUCUCAGGACAUCCUUUUAUUUUUUAGGUAAGAUUCCAUAGACAUGCCUUUCUUUUUUUCUCCCAGACAUUGUGUUUUAUUGUCUUAUUAUAAGCGAUUUAUAUUUGUAACAUCUUUAAGUUUAUUUUUAUCUGUGACUUUAAAAAAAUGAGGUGAAAAUGGUUAUGCACACUGUACCCGAGUAUGUAACAAAACAUCAUACUAAAUAAUAACCACUUUCUCAAAAACAG